rnacentral:lncRNA from 1 species
GAGAGAACCACCUACUCAUGUGUUGAGACCAAGACAUUCCAAUCCAACCACAAGAAUCUUGAUCUCUAGCCUUCCCCAAGUUGCUUUCCACUCAAAUCUUCUUUCCACCAUAGCCAAAUCUGUGAGAGAGAGUUGAGUGUUGGGGAGACUAUCAUUUGAAGCACACGAGCAAGGAGUUCAUCAUCAACACACCAUCUAUUACCUUUUGGAGAGUGGUGUGUCAUAGAUUGGUUAGGUGUCACUUGGAGCCUCCGACAAGAUUAUGGAGUUGAACCAAGGAGUUUGUAAGGGCAAGGAGAUCGCCUACUUCGUAAAGAUCUACUCGACUGAGGUAAGUCCUUUGUGGGUGAUGGCCAUGGUGGGAUAGACAAGGUUGCUUCUUUGUGGACCCUUCGUGGGUGGAUCCCUCCAUGGACUCAUGCAGCCGUUACCCUUCGUGGGUUGAAGUCUCUAUCAACAUGGAUGUAUGAUAGAAGUACCUAUCAGAACCACGCCAAAAAUCUCCGUGUCUACAUUGCCUUUGCCUUCUCCAAACCCUUCCCUUUACCUUAAUAUGCAAUGUUUUACUUUCCGUUGCUACACUCUUAGAAUUGCAUGUGUAGGUUGAUUACUUGACUUGUGCUAAGUUGCUAAAAUCUGCCAAGACUUAAAAUUGGAAAAAUGUUAGAUUUUUAUUUGGUAAGUAGUCUAAUCACCCCCCCCCCCUCUAGACAUACUUUCGAUCCUACACCUGGGCCUAGAGGCGCAGCACGCGGGCUGGCACGACACAGGCCGUAUCAUGCCCUGGCGGGCCGUGCCGGGCCAGGCACGAUUAUGAUGGGCCAGGCCGUGCCGGGCCGGGCAGGCCUGUUUGGCCAGGUCUGCUCUCGCGCAUGGGAGCUAGCGCAGGCCGGCUUCGAUGGGCCUAGGCGCCGCGGUCGCCCAUCCAAGUGAGACGUAAGCCGAGGCCCAGAUAAGUAGUUGUCUGGUUGAGUUUUAGACAGGUUUUCUUUUCUAUGUAAAUUUUCUGGUCACUUUUCAUAUUCUGUUUUUAUCUUUUUGUUUCUUUGUUAUCUUAUUUUCUUAUGUUCUGCUUUUUUCUGUUUUUUCAUAUUCUUGAAUAUCUAUUUGACAUUUCUUCUAUGUGUUGAUCCCCGGGCUUCUGGUUUUUAUGGGUUUUCUAUUUUUCUUCGUCUCCUUUAUUUGAAAAAACUGUUCAAUUAUGCAUUCUAAAAAUGUUAGAUGUGUAUUAGAGAAAAGUUCACCCUAUAGUAAAAAAAAGAUCAUCAUAUAUUACAAAUACCAAUUUUCUAUAGAAAUUUGUUCGUAUACAAAAUUUCAUCGUAUAUAACAAAAUUCUAUUUUAGAUUAGAAAUUUGUUCUGUGUGUAUAUUAAAAAUGUUCACCAUAUAUUAACUAAUGUUCAAUGUAUCUUAUAAAAAGUUCACCGUGCACUGUAAAAAAGUACCUAGUAUGUAACAGAUGUUCACUUUAUAUUAGAAAUCCACAGAGAAAACGUGCUUUCGGUCUUCGGUUCAAGGGAUCAAUCAUGAACGGUUCUACGGAUUUGAUCAACGAUCUAAUCAACUCUUCUUCCACUGCAACUCAAAGUUGGCAACGAUCCGAUCAAACCUUCUUUGCAUCUUCAUAGUGAUCCGGGAGUAUGAUUUGUAGGACAAAUUUUUUGUUUUCUACUACGUUUUCCAAUAUAUAUUUGGUUGAACGGUCCUCCGGGCCACCUCCCUAUAGUGUUUUCAGCUGCACCCACGUGCCAGGUCUCGGGCGCUACCUCGCGCAUGGCGGGAGAUCUGGGUCUCCUUAUCAGCGUACUUCGGCCCCGGCUAGGUUGAUUCGUGCACGCCAGCUGGGCCUGCGCGUGCACCUGACUCUUGUAACCGUCCACCCGGCUGAUGGGAGAGCCGGGUCGCCCUGUCAGCAUCCUUCGCCCCCAGCCGGGGUGCUUCGCUCGUGCAAGCCGGGCCCGCGCGUGCGCCAUGCUCGGCGUGUGUUCAUACACCGAGCAAGCCCUAUUGGCCAUCCGUCGGGUCGUGGAGGUGAGAGGCUGAGCAACGAGAGGUUGCUUCACUGCCACAAGCUUCAUGUGUGGGGCCUGCCCGACUCUGUGUGCGUUUGCCGGCCGGUGAUACGUCUCAAACGUGUUUAUAUAUAUUUUUUGUUGUUUCAUGCUAUUAUAAUAUCACCUUUUUAUACUUCCAUAGCAAUUUUUAUUCUUUUUCUAGACUAACCUACCCAAAGUCAAUUGUUGUUUUCUACCUGUUUUAGACUUAUGAGAAAAUCAAUAUCUGUGUAGCUCAAAAUACCACGGGGAUUUACGAUGAUUGUUUCAAGUUAUGAAGAUUCCAGAAAGCGUUGGGAGGGGCUAAAGGGCCACACUAGGCCCUUACGUGGCCAGGUGGAGCGACUUAGGCCCCAUCCGUGUGGGUAGGCUAUAUGGGACCCCAUGGCACCGCAUUCUUUUGCCUAUAAAUGCCAUAAUUCGAGAAACUCUCCAUACCAUUUUUUGUGAUUUGUUUCGCUGCUGCAAGUUCCUGUUCAGGGAAGAUCCAAUCUACAAGUCUGUUCCGGCACACUGCUGGAGGGGAAAUUUAUCACCGGGGCCAUCUUUAUCAACCUUGCUACUACCAUGCAUGGCCAUGUGUGAGUAGUUUUCUUAGGACCUUAGCGUCCAUAGCAGUAGCUAGAUGACAUCUUCUUUCUCUUGUGAGUAGUUUUCUUAGGACCUUAGGACCUCAAUCGAGGUGAAGUAAUUCCCUCAAUAAAGAACCAAGGUUUAUCAAACCAAAAAAGGUUCUUUUAGCAAAUAAAGUCACUAGGACCUGCGCACAAAACACAACAGAAACUUGUCCCCAACACGUCAAGAAUGUUGUGAAGCUUCUUAAGAGCAUCUCUAGCAGACCCCGCAAAGUCUCAACCUGCAUAAGUCUUUUGCAGUUCACGAAAAACGCGUUUUAAGGGUCGGUUUUAGCUGCAGCAGAACAGACCCCUCAAACUCAAAUUGUAAAACGGAAUAUUUGCUUAUAUUCUUUUCCCAUGUCUUCUUCUUCCUCUCGUCCAUUCCAUGAUCAGCUAGCUUGCUCCCGCGAAACCGAGAUAGCACACGAAACGAUCAAAAACGGAGGCGCAGGCGACCAGAUAGGAGGCGCACGAAGCUAUCCAGGGGCUAGCUAGCUAGCUAGCUUUGCUCAAAUCGAUCGAGAGCUAGCUAGCUAGCUCAGCUCGAAUCCAUCCAGGGGCGGACUAGCUAGCUAGCUCCUCCCAGAGAGAGACGCGGCCGGGGGCGGAUGACGUGGACGGCCGGCCGGCGGCUAGGGGACCGGGCAGCGCGGACGGGGUGGCACAGACGGCGGACGGCAGACCCGGAAGUUUUCGUGACAGUUGGGCUUCCGCCAACUGCUUUUCCCUGAUAUAGAGCACCGUACAAGUGGACGCGAAAAUUGUGUUUUUGCGGAUUGGGAGGAGUUUUUUACCGCACCCUUUAAAAAAAAUUACAGGUCGGAGGUAUAUAAGGGGUCUGUUCGGGCUACUUUUUUCAUCCGAAACUGAAUACUGGCAAUUAUUUUACAGUUUCAUGGGAUAUACAGGGUCUGCUAGAGAUGCUCUAAUAGAUAGAUAAAUUAAAAGAAACGGUACAUCAAAGAACAUUAUUUUGAUGAGGUUUUCAGUUAUAGAGAAUAGACCCGGUAGGCCAUAGGUUCACUAGUGGUAUCUCUCAUAAGCAUACAAGUGUGGCGCAUAAAUUACAGUUCGCGCCCCAUAAGCAUACACAAAACAUUAAAAUGAGUGCUACGAAAAAAAUCUAAGCUACUUUAGUAGAUGUACUUUUCAUCCUCAAAGUUCAUGAAUUUGUCUUUUCUGUACAAAUUGCAUUUGAAGGUAUUUCAUCAUGAAAUUUUACAGGCAUACACAUCACAUCCUUAUUUACUUGUACAAUUUUUUUUUCAUAUUUUUUUGAAACUGAAAAGUAUAAAUUUUGAAUUUUUCAAAAGUUCCGCCCUUUAUAGAGGCCGAGCUCCAAAACGCUCCACUCAUGCCAACGACGCUACAUUUCAAGUGUGUCUUCAUAAUUAAGUUCCCUGAAAAAAAUGUGUGUUUGCAUAUAAACGGUUGGAUCACUUGCUCUCAAUUUUCAAAGUGUGUCGUCAGCAAAGCGCCACUACUAAUACGUGUACCUGUGUAAAAAAAAGGGCAGCUACCAUUACAGGUCAGCCGUACCAUUUGCACAACCACGAAACCGGAAACCGAGCGUUCGGUUCUGGUGCCUUCUUCGUCUGGCUUCCCCUGUGACAGAGGUGACGGAGAGCGAAGGCGACGAUCGGGGCCCAGCCGGCCUGGUGGAUCCACAGCAUCUAUGUAUACUCACUUUAGCCAAAUAAAGUACCUCACAUGGCCACAUGCGUGUGUGACGAUGCUGUUGAGUGUUGACUAUCAUACUCGGGUGGCACUCUUUCAGCCAAUCCUCUUUGGCCACGAUACAUAAACCAAAAAAGCCCAUGAUCGGUUCUGGUUUGAGUCGGCUCGGUUAUGGUUCGGGCAUCCGACAUGGCCAGGUCGUUGUCGCUGUCCUUGUCUCAAUCCCACUUGAUUAAAAGAACCAAAUCAGUUUGGGUCGUGGAAUGAAUCUAUGAAGAGACUAGUAGCAUCACAAAAAGAAUGAAUCUUCUCCCGCAGAAAGAAAACAAGAAAAAGAAACUAUUCAUGUACAGUUGCGGACCUCCCUUAUUAGAUUAUAUUUCUUUGACGAGAAAAAGAAACUAUUCAUAUUCUUGUUCUUGAGGUGUGCAUAUACUUGUUUCAUCUUAUUAUUAGACUUUAUAAACGUAUUUGUGCACUUCUAGUCUUGGUGAUAUUUGUUCAAAACGACCAAGAAGUAGCAAUUCUAAAAGGAAAAUCUAAGGAGGGAACAAGGUCAUUCAUCUAGUAUUACACUAAUAAUGAGCUAGUAGUAAUAAAGUGUCACGGAGUAAACAACCAAAACACAUGGUAAAUUAGUACACAGCCAAGUAUAUUAAGUUGAUUAGAGUCAGUUUUGGUCACUUCUCGGCACGGGUAUUCUUUACUAUAGCAGUUAACGAUGCCAUAUGCUCUGAACUUCUGAAGCUUUGUUUAAGCAGUAAAGCAUGAUCCAUUCAAGCAUGUACAACAUGGCGUGUGCUUACCGAAGGGCUGAAAACCAAAUGCGCGCGGUUCGGUUCUGGUUCGGUUCGGCUCUGGUUCAGUUGCUCUGGUUCUUGGGGCUGUAGAAGACUAGAAGUCACGCUCCACUUUGCGCGUCUAAAGUCCGGUGCCUUAUAUAAAUCCUUGGCCAUCUCCAGCUCUAAACCUCAAACACAAACCCAUUUCUCCAGCAAACACAACCACCCAAGAGACGAACAAUGGGGUUCCUGGCCGCCUUCUGGAACCUGCUCGCCUUGAUUUCCGCCGCAUGUAGCAACGCGGAGAAGCUGCCGGCUGCUCUCAUCUCCUGCGGCGUCGUCGAAGCAGCAGCGGCGCUCUGCCUCGUCAUAUCCAAAGCGCCCGGAGGUAUAUUUCUCCACCACGGCAAAGCACCCUUCUUCUUGUACUACGGCAUCCUCAUCGCCGUGUUCGUCUUCGGGCUCCUCGAGGCGUCGGCCGGCUUCUGGGUGUCGGGCGAUGUGGUCGGACGACGUGCCGCCGGGAAGACCAUCCUCUGGUUGGGCCUCCUGCCCAUCGUCUUCGUGGCUGCGCUUGGAGGCUUUGUCAUUCUGAGCAUGAAAUAGUUCAUCCUGCGCCAGUUGUGUGUGUGCACGCCUGUACGUGCGUGUGUCAGUUAGUGAGCUUGAUGUACUAUUUGCUUCCACCUGUUAUCCGUUUUAGUAUAUGUUUGUGGUAACGGGGCUUUUUGUCCGAAACGGAGAGUUUCAGGUUCUGUUGGUAACAGAGUUUCAGGUUCUGCUCAGCUUUCUGAUCGAUGUGAGAUGGUCAUUGAUCUGGUCUCUGCCUUGUUACGAACGGAAAAAUCGUCUAUUGCAUUUUGGCACAUGUUUGUUCCCCUCUCAGAAAUCAGAGGAAAGUGGCAGUCAACGACUGCCUUUCUUCAGUACCGUCCGGGCAAUCCAUACGCCCGGAUCGCCCCCUGCAGCUGCGGGCGGACGACGGGCCGCUGGGAAGACGAUGCUGUGGCUGGGCCUGCUCCUGCCCGUCAUCUUGGCGGCUGCACUUGUAGGCUUUGUCAUUCCUCAUUCUGAGCGUGAAAUAGAUGAUCCCCGCCUUUCGAUUUUUGCUAUCAUGUAAUGAUAGUGUUGUAAUCUGUUUUUCCAUGUAUGUUGUACCCUGUGCGCGUGGGCGCAUCUUCAUUUCCUUCACUGCGCUAUGCACCGGUCUGUUUGUGCAUAUGUGGAUCGAUGGACAACGGAGGAUGGAUGUUCUGUUGUGCCUUCGAUACAUGUGAAAUUGUUAGUAAUGUGGUGUCCCCUGUUCUUUUUUUUUCUCUUUUUAUAAUUAUCUCCUUUUUCCUAUAUACGAACAAAAAUACACCGGAAACAGAGAGGGGAACAAAGUUCAUUUGGAUAUGUAUAAAUCGUUUUCCCCUAAUCUAGCCGCCGCCACUUGAAGGCGACUAGGGAGGCGAUCCUCUACCUUCGAUCUACACCGGCGAGGGCUGGUCCCCUCUCCCUCUGACUGUUGCUCCAGCGGCAGGAGGGAUCGGAGGAGGGACCCCAUUUCCUCCGCUCCGUAGUUAGGGUUUGGUUUCAUAGGUCGUGGUGCGCCGCUGGGGAUGGUGGGAGUGGUGACUGGAUGAAUAAAUCUGCCUCGGCUUCACUCCCACAUCUGCAGUGUCCUUCGUGGCGGCGUCUCGGAGUUGAUGGCAUUGGCGGUGUCCUUCAUGGCAAAUCGGCGGCGUUAGUGUUCAUAGAUGGUGUCAGUGAGGCGGUGGCGGUGACCCCUUCAGGUGUGUCUCUCCUUCCGCUCUGUUCGCGUUGUUGCGGCGUUGUCUCCGACGUCACGGUGGAGCAGGGAAGUUUUGUCAUUCGGGAGUACGCGCAAACGGUUUGUCUACGUAGAUGAUAGCUGAAAGAAGGUGCAUAUUGUGUUGGGUUGGUGGUUGGAGGCUGACAAUUGGUUUCUUCCUUCAACGUCGUAGUCAUGCGGGUGUGUCAGGUCUGGAGUUUGAUAGCGUGUUCGGGACAUGUUGCCCCUGUCUUAUUCUUUCAACGUCAUUGGUUUUGCUUCAGGCAAACUACUUUGGUGGUCCUUAAAGCUGCACAUCAGCGAUGGAGCCCCGUCGAGCUCGGGUGAAGAGGUGAUUUGUCUUCUUUUCCUUACUGGAGAGGGAUAGACGCUGAUUUUUUGCAUAGGAUUAUCCUAUCUUUUCAGUCAUGUAAUGUCGGUGCUUACGUCGCUUGUAGCUGAAUCUUUAUUUUAUUAAUGAAACAUGUAUUACCAUGUAAAAGAAACAAAGUUCAUCUGGUCCAAAAAAAAGUUUGCCCGGCAGUCCGGUGCUUAGAGCAACUCCAACACGCCGACCCAAAAUGGACGAUGCUUUUGUCCGCUUUUUGUCCGUUUGAGUUGGCCGCCCGCUCGUCGUCCGCCCUGUUUAAGAUUUGGGUCGGCAGUGCGCCCGACGGCCGCGACCCAUUUCAUGUCCGCCCGCAUCCUGCUUGUCUUCCUUCUUGAAGUUGGUCUUCCCCCACAGCCGUGGCUUCUCGCCCUCCCCAACCUCCUCCACGACUUUCUUCCCCUCACAUGACAUGAGGGCGGCAUAUUGCGCCUUAAAUUUUUCCUCGUCUUUGAUGACCCUCCAACAAUGGGAGAGGUUGAAGGACUUGCCAUGGUGUUGGACCUUCAAUGCCUCCAAGGCUUGGAAUGCCUACAAAUGAAUUGCAUGCAAUCAUAUUGGCAAAUGGAUAUGGAUAUGGAAAUGGACAUGCAAGCAUAAACGAAAUGACACAAAGAGGGGCGCUUGCUAGCAUACCAUGUCUUGCAUGCCCUCGUCCGUCCUGUCUUUGUGUCUCGUCAGGAUCGUAGCCAGCCCCGGUGGCACCGCCAGCGAUCGCCGCCCACCCUCAAAGAUGAUGUUCUGCAUGAAGUUGUCGUCGCCGGAGGCUGGCAUUCCGUCGAACAGGUUGCCUGUGCCCGGCAGCACGUCGGCUGGCACCGGCCGCACGUGUUUCCUCGCCCCUCCGGAUGACGAGCCACCGGCCACCAGUGUGGCGUUGAGGUCGAUGGGCGCGGACGCGAGCGUGGAAGGAGCCACCACGCUAACCUCGGGCGAGCAUUCCCCGAGAGCCGGGAGGCUUGCGGGUAGACAUGAAAACCGGGCAUCAGUUGCAUCGCCGACACGCAGGGCGACUAGGGCAGCACCAUCCGAGGAAACGCGGAUGAGCCGGUGCUGGCCGCGGCCACAACGGUGUUGACGAGGCCAUGCUGGCCAGGGUUUAACCCUAGGAACAUCAGCGCAUCCCUCAUUGUCGUCGCGACUCGGGCGUUGGUGGCCUCCUGCUGCGCGGCCGCCGCGAUGGCUUGGUCCCUUGCAUCCGCCGCGUGCCUCCAGCCCUUUCUCUUCGCCGAUUCCCUUGCCCGCUCCUCGGGCGUCAGCUUCUUCUUCAGCUUGGGCACGACGGCGGUCUUGCGGCGGGCACGAGGCUUGCCUUUGCCUAGGGGGCGGUCGUGAUGCCGGACGAGGCGAGGGAGGCGAGGCCGGCGGCGGCAUCGAGGUCAUCGUCCAUCGCGAGUGGUGGGAGCACGCGCGGGCGGGAGGGUUUUGCGGAAAGUGGAGAGAAAUGGUGGAGGCUGCCACCGACUGACGAGCCAGGGGGAGUAGUUGGCGCGCGUCGCGCGUCCACCUCGUGUCCGUGCCGGCGCAAAUGAGGCUCAAAAAUGGACCGGGAAUGAUCGGCACGCGGACGAAAAGCGGACACGCGUCCGUUUGGUUCGGCGCGGUGGGCCGAUUUUUCUGUUCGCCGCGACCUAAAUGGACGCGCGCGGACAAAAUGGGUCGCCGCUUACCAGAAUCAAACAGAAGAACUAUAGCCUGGGCCAAACUUGUGAAUAUCGACAGGCCGAACACACGCACAGAUCAUAGAUCUCUUUUUUCAAAGUAGCCCAUAGAGCUUUGUGUGUCUGCUCCACGAUGGACUGAGCUGAGAGAGUGUGCUCUGCUUUCCCUCCUUCCUUCCGCGUUCGGCUCAUUUUGUAGUAUAUUGUUUCUGCUCUGCUCGCGUGCUCCCCACCCUCGAGCCUCGACUCCCCCCACACUCUCCACUGACAAGAAACCAUCUCCAGCGAACAUCUUCUGCCGGAUCUGAUGGCGGCCUCGAUUGGGUGGCUGGUUGAGACCAUCUCUGCAACCCUCAAGAUCGAUAAGCUCGAUGCCUGGAUUCGGCAAGUCGGACUUGCCGAUGACAUCCAGAAGAUCAAGUCGGAGAUCUGGAAAGUCCAGACAGUGGUCACUACUCUACUGCCAAGAGUACGGGGGUCGCAAACGAGCUUCUGGAUGAAGCUUUCGCUCUUCUCGAAGAGCGGCUCUAUGAAGCCGACGAUCUUGUCGACGAGCUCGACUACUACAGGCUCCAACACCAAGUCCAAGGUCUGCCUGCCCCUGCAGAUCCAAGCGAGCUACUCCGAAGAGGUAAGCGUAAAUCUCUCUACACCCAAUUAAUCCAAGUCAGCUAAUUAUUAGUUUGAUCUUAUAUUGCGCCAAAAAUUUAAAUUGGUCGUAUCUGAUCAAGGACGCCAUUGCUUUUCUGCUCCACGAUUUCUUUUGGCACAGUUACAAGGGGUGAGCCCGAAGGUGUGCUUGUAGCUGAGCGACUCAAUGAGAUACCGAGGGGUGAUGGUGAUAUAGCACAGAGACAGAGCAAUGUUGGCAAAUUACGGUCCGUGGUAUGGGAACACUUCACGAUCACACAAAGAGAUAAUGGAAAACCUGUCAAAGCAGUAUGUGUACACUGUAGAAAUGAGUUUAAGUGCGAUACGAAGACGAACGGUACAUCAUCUAUGAAAAAGCAUUUGGAGAAUGAGCAUUCUGUGACUUGUGCAAAGAAACCUCCUGGAGAACAUCCAGCAAACCCUUCAAGGUACUUAAAAGAGAAUUGGGUAUAGAGUAGAGUAUUCUUUCAAGCUCAGAUGUACAUACACCCCUUACCUUGUACUCCCUCCGUUCCAUAUUAAUCGUCGCUGAUUAGUACAACUAAUAUGGAACGGAGGGAGUAUGAGGGAGGCUAUGAGCACAUUUAAGAAAAAAGUGUUCAUAUACAUCUGCUUGAGGCCAUUAUAUGUUCCUAAUAACCCCAUCUUUUUAUUACUGCAGCACCGGUGAGCCUACUGUAAUUGGCAGCUCAUCCAGCAGAAAAGGAAAGAGACGACGGUCCAAGGCAUGGGAACUUUUUGAUGUCAUACAAGAAGUAAACGAACAGCCUAUGAAAGCAAGAUGUAAAUACUGUCCCACAGAGAUCAAGUGCGGACCAACGAGUGGGACAGCAGGUAUGCUCAACCAUAGCAAGAUUUGUAUACCUGGACUAAACAACCAGCCGCCAAACCCGUCAAGGUAACUAAAGAAUCUAUACAUUGCACCGAAAAAUAUUAGAAGUCAUUAAGUUAAGAGUCUCACUGUGGUUCUAAUAGCCAAUUCACGGUCUUUUUCCUAUUGCAGCACUAGUGAUGCUAAUGCAAAUGUGACGCCAAUUACUGCGGCUAACACGGUCACCCCUUGGGACAUGGCUGAAUUGUCCAACAAGAUUAAAAAAAUAGCUGGUCAGUUGCAAUACAUCGGAAGGGAAGUGGGUGAGAUUCUAAAGCUACAUGGAUCCGACUGUACUUCAAGUUCAGAUCAGCACCUCAGAACACCAAGUCUUGUUCCAAGGAAUGUGUAUGGAAGAGUUAAGGAAAAGGAACACAUCAUGAAAUUGAUGAUGACAGAAGGCAGAUCUGACAAAUUAAUUGUUGUGCCUAUUGUAGGCAUUGCAGGUGUUGGAAAGACAACUCUCACUCAACUUGUAUACAAUGAUGUAGAAGUGGAAAGGCAAUUUCACCAUAGAAUAUGGGUUUGGGUGUCUCGCAACUUUGAUGAAAUGAGGCUCACAAGAGAGAUGUUGAGCUUUGUUUCUCAAGAAAGACAUGAAGGAAUAGACUGCUUUGUGAAGCUUCAGGAGAUCUUGAAAAGUUAUGUUAAAUCAAAGAGGAUUUUACUUAUUUUAGAUGAUGUUUGGGAUGACAAGAACAAUUACCAGUGGAACCAACUAUUGGCUCCUUUUCGGCACGACAAUGCUAUUGGUAAUGUGAUUCUUGUGACAACUAGAAAAUUGUCUGUUGCAAAAAUGAUUGGAACAACAAGACCAAUUAAGUUAGGUGCAUUGGAAAAUGAUGACUUCGAGUUAUUGUUCAAAUCAUGUGCAUUAGGUGAUGGAAACUAUGAAUUUCCUGGAAAUUUUAGCACAAUUGGGCAGCACAUAAUAGAGAAGUUAAAGGGCAACCCCUUAGCAGCAAUAACUACUGGGUCGCUAUUAAGGGAUCAUCUUACCGCUGAUCAUUGGAGUAACAUUCUCAAGAAAGAAAGUUGGAAGUCACUGGGAGUCAGUGGAGGCAUCAUGCCUGCUUUGAAGCUUAGUUAUGAUGAGCUACCAUACCGUUUACAACAAUGUUUCUCUUACUGUUCUAUAUUUCCUAACAAAUAUAGGUUUCUUGGUAAGGAUUUAGUCUAUAUUUGGAUUUCUCAGGGAUUUGUGAAUUGCACCCAAAAUAAGAGAUUGGAGGAUACAGGGUGGGAAUAUCUGAAUCAAUUGGUAAACCUGGGAUUCUUUCAACAAAUUGAAGAACAACAAGAAUUGGAUGAGGAAGAAGAAUUCUCUCUAUGCCGUCAGAUUUGGUACUCUAUGUGUGAUCUCAUGCAUGAUUUUGCGAGGAUGGUUUCAAGGACCAAAUGUGCGACUAUAGAUGGUCCACAGUGCAAUAAAAUAUUGCCAACUGUACAGCAUUUGUCAAUAGUAACCGGUUCUGCAUACAACAAAGAUCUGCACGGGAACAUUCCUCGUAAUGAGAAGUUUGAAGAACAUCUGAGAAAUUCAGUUACAUCAGUUACCAAGUUGAGAACAUUGGUUGUACUUGGAAAAUUUGACUCUUCCUUUGUACAGUUGUUCCAAGAUAUAUUCCAAAAGGCACAAAAUUUACGCCUGCUACGAGUAUCUUAUCCACUUAUCUGUUUCAAGUGCCUGAAGCAUCCACCGGUUUUAAUUCCUUCCUGUGCAGUUUGGCAAAUCCUUUGCAUCUUCGUUACCUAAAACUUGAGUUGGAUGGGAUUGUGCCACAAGUUUUGAGUACGUUUUUGCAUCUUCAAGUAUUAGAUGUUGGAUCAAGCAUGGAUACUUCUCUACCCAAUGGCUUGUUGCAUAAUCUUGUUAGCCUGCGACAUCUAGUUGCACACAAGAGAGUCCAUUCUUCCAUUACUAGCAUUGGUAACAUGACAUCUAUCCAGGAGCUACAUGAUUUUAAGGUUCGAAUUUCUGGUGGCUUUGAGAUAACACAACUCAAAUACAUGAACGAGCUUGUUCAACUUGGGGUGUCUCAGCUUGACAGUGUUAAAACCCGGGAGGAGGCUUAUGGAGCAGGAUUAAGAAACAAGGAACACUUAGAAGAGCUUCACUUGUCCUGGAAGGAUGCAUAUUCAGAGUAUGAGUUUGUCAGUGACACUAGAUUUGAAUCUUCUGCAAACAUGGCAAGAGAAGUGAUUGAGGGUCUUGAACCAUACAUGGAUUUAAAACAUCUACAAAUAUCUUGGUAUAAUGGUACCACUUCACCAGCUUGGCUUGCCAACAAUAUCUCAGUUACCUCAUUGCAGUCGCUUCAUCUUAAUUAUUGUGGAACAUGGAGAACACUUCCAUCUCUGGGAAGUCUUCCAUUUCUUACAAAGCUGAAGUUGAGCAACAUGUGGGAAGUAAAAGAAGUAUUGAUUCCUUCACUGGAGGAGCUAGUUUUGAUCGACAUGCCUAAGUUAGUGAGAUGCUCAAGCACUUCUGUCGAGGGUCUGUGCUCCAGCUUAAGGGUACUGCAGAUCAAAUAUUGUAAAGCAUUGAAGGAGUUUGAUCUGUUUGAUAACGAUGAUAAUUCUGGAAUCACUCAGGGAUCAUGGCUGCCCGGUCUUAGGAAUUUGAUUCUGGAUUAUUACCCUCAUUUGGAAGUGUUGAAGCCUCUUCCACCUUCAACUACCUGUUGUAAGGUACUCAUCAGAGAAGUUCCAAGAUUUCCGUAUAUGGAGGUAUCAUCUGGAGAAAAGUUAGAAAUUGGGAAUACUUAUGGCUACAGAGGCGAUGGUUUUGAUGAAUCUUCUGAUGAAUUGAGGAUACUGGAUGACAAAACUUUGGCAUUCCAUAACCUUGGAAACCUCAAAUUGAUGGAGAUAUAUGGUUGCAGAAAUCUAAGGUCUUUUUCGUUCGAAGGUUUUAGUCAUCUUGUCUCUUUAGCAAGUUUGACAAUAGUAGACUGCGAACAACUUUUCCCUUCAGAUGUGUCGCCAGAGUAUACCCUUGAGGAUGUGACAGCUAUGAACUGCAAUGCCUUCCCAUCUCUUAAAAGUCUCAGUAUUCAGUCAUGUGGAAUAGCGGGGAAGUGGCUAUCGUUGAUGCUGCAACAUGCGCCAGGCCUAGAGAAAUUGGCUUUAGCAAAUUGCGCCCAUAUAACAACAGUACUAUUAACAACAGUAUUGUCCGAUGGAAGAGGAAGAAAACAGACUAUUAACAACAGUACUGUCAUCAGGAAAUCCAGAUGAGGCAUUGACCUGGUUAGCUCGAGACUGACUCUUGCACGUUCAGUCACUCAAGAUGAUUGAUAUUUGGGACUGCCCCCGCCUAACAUUUAACGGGGCCAAGGAAUGCUUCUCUGGAUUUACCUCCCUUGAGAAGCUAGUCAUUCGAGGCUGCCCCGACCUGUUCUCGUCAUUGGUACAUAAAGACGUAACAGAUGACCAGGCAAGCGGAAGAUGGCUCCUCCCGAAAUCACUUCAGGAACUUGAGAUCGUUGAAUAUUCCCAAGAAAAGCUGCAGCUCUGCUUCCCUAGAGAUAUCACAAGCCUUAAAAAGUUAAAUGUAUAUCACAGCCCAGGUUUGCAAUCUCUACGGCUGCACUCAUGCACGGCACUGGAAGAAUUGGAGAUUAGAUGCUGUGGAUCGCUCACCGUCACUGAACUAGAAGGCAUACAACCCCUUGGCAGCCUCGGGCGUUUGAAUGUAUCAGACUGUCCUGGCUUGCCACCAUGUUUGGAGAGCUUUUCAACGCUGUGCCCUCGGCUGGAAAGGCUUGAGAUCGAUGACCCAUCUGUCCUUACCACGUCAUUCUGCAAGCACCUCACCUCCCUGCAAAGACUACAUCUUGGUCCCAUGAAAAUGACGAGACUCACAGAUGAGCAAGAGCGGGCGCUUGUGCUGCUGAAGUCCCUGCAAGAGCUCGAAUUCAAUCGGUGUCGUGAUCUCGUAGAUCUUCCUGGGGGCCUGCACAACCUUCCUUCCCUCAAGAGGUUAAAGAUAUGGGAUUGUCUGGGCAUCUCAAGGCUGCCGGAAGCAGGUCUCCCAUUUUCACUGGAAGAACUGGAAAUCAAUCAUUGCAGCAAGGAACUAGCUGACCAAUGCAGUCUGCUAGAAACAAGCAAGCGAAAAGUGAAAAUUACUUUAUGUACUCCAAUUGAUUACUGGCUGCUAUGUUAAGCACAUGUUUCUAAGCUGUCUCUGCUUUUGAGGAAAUCUUCCGCCGUAUACCCUCAGAGUUGACAGACCCUCAUAAAUGUGCAGUGUGCUCAUUCCAGAAUGAGCUGUCUCUGCAGGCAUUCAAUUAGGCUGCUCAACAUAUACUAUCAUGCAACAGGUAAACCGGCAUGUUUCGCUGUUUGCUAUUCAUCUUGUCUUGUCAACUGAAAAAUAUAAUUAAUUUUCAUUUCCUUGACUGCACAGAGAACUACUCCCUCCGUUCCUAAAUAUAAGUCUUUGUAGAGAUUCCACUAUAGACUACAUACGGAGCAAAAUGAGUGAAUCUACGCUUAAAAUGCAUUUAUAUACAUUCGUAUGUGGUUCAUACUAAUAUCUCUACAAAGACUUAUAUUUAGGAACGGAGGGAGUACACGAGAUAAACCUGCAGAUGUUUUAUGUUGUUUGUUGCACAAGUUGUGUCCGAAAUUUCCGCCAUUCAGAUAUGCUCUGCAGCUACAACAAUGCACCUUUUCAAGGAAAAAAAAGCUAAAACAAAGCACUUCAGAGACAGGAAUAGUAGCUCUCGUCUGACACGAGAAGGAGGAUAUGUGGGGUUACUCUUAACUAAAUUCAUGUGUUGAUCAGCCAGACUCAGAAGUCAGGAUGGCCUCGGCAGACGCCUAAUGUGUGCAAGAAUGAUUAAAGUUGGAUAUGCAAGCCUGUAACCUGGUGUGCCGUCG